rnacentral:rRNA from 1 species
UACGAAGGGGGCUAGCGUUGUUCGGAAUUACUGGGCGUAAAGCGUGCGCAGGCGGCUUCUCAAGUCAGGGGUGAAAGCCCAGAGCUCAACUCUGGAAUUGCCUUUGAGACUGGGUGGCUUGAGUACGAGAGAGGUGAGUGGAAUUCCCAGUGUAGAGGUGAAAUUCGUAGAUAUUCGCAAGAACACCAGUGGCGAAGGCGGCUCACUGGCCCGGUACUGACGCUGAGGUGCGAAAGCGUGGGGAGCAAACAGG